rnacentral:tRNA from 1 species
GGAGAGGUGACCGAGCGGCUUAAGGAGCACGCUUGGAAAGCGUGUGUGGCCCAAAAGGCCACCGGGGGUUCGAAUCCCCCCCUCUCCGCCA